rnacentral:rRNA from 1 species
GACGAACGCUGGCGGCGUGCUUAACACAUGCAAGUCGAACGAUGAAGCCGGAGCUUGCUCUGGUGAAUUAGUGGCGAACGGGUGAGUAACACGUGAGUAACCUGCCCUUGACUCUGGGAUAACUGCUAGAAAUGGUAGCUAAUACCGGAUACGACCCUCGGCGGCAUCGCCAGGGGGUGGAAAGAAUUUCGGUCAAGGAUGGACUCGCGGCCUAUCAGCUAGUUGGUGAGGUAACGGCUCACCAAGGCGACGACGGGUAGCCGGCCUGAGAGGGUGACCGGCCACACUGGGACUGAGACACGGCCCAGACUCCUACGGGAGGCAGCAGUGGGGAAUAUUGCACAAUGGGCGCAAGCCUGAUGCAGCGACGCCGCGUAGGGGAUGACGGCCUUCGGGUUGUAAACCUCUUUCAGUAGGGACGAAGCGCAAGUGACGGUACCUACAGAAGAAGCACCGGCCAACUACGUGCCAGCAGCCGCCGUAA